UACGUAGGGCGCAAGCGUUGUCCGGAAUUAUUGGGCGUAAAGAGCUCGUAGGCGGUUUGUCGCGUCUGCUGUGAAAACCUAAGGCUCAACCUUGGGCUUGCAGUGGGUACGGGCAGACUAGAGUGCGGUAGGGGUGACUGGAAUUCCUGGUGUAGCGGUGAAAUGCGCAGAUAUCAGGAGGAACACCGAUGGCGAAGGCAGGUCUCUGGGCCGAUACUGACG
rnacentral:rRNA from 1 species